AUAUAGAUGCAACAUUUCGUUCCUCUGUAGGUUAUGCUAUUGUGUGCGAUCGUUUUAAUGAGGCUGUUUUCGAUGAUGCAGGUUGUGCCCUCAAUUCUUGGGUAGGGAAAGGAAGCUUAGAUUUUGGAAUGUUUGUCAUGGUUACCUUUUUGAUUGUUGCCAUGGUGAUGGUUGUGUUCAUUUUUAUUGGAUUGCAUGAGCAAUUCACCAUCAUUACUGGCCAUUAGUUAUAGGUGUUCAUCAACACGAUGAUAUGGACUGUGAUGUUGCUUAUCACCGGUUGUCUCAUGUCUAACACUUUUCACAGAUUAUUUAACGGAAAGAAAAUAUAUUCGAGAAUUCAUUUUGUGAUCGGGAGAAUGAAGCGGCAAAACGUCGUCCAACAUGUAUUUAUCUUAUUUCUUCUACGGCUUGCUGUUUUAUUGCAACCAUAACCUUGGCAUUGAAUGUUCUGUUCAACUAUCAAUUAUUAAAUUCCACAACAUCUACAGUUGCAACACCAGUAACUAUUGUUAUGGCUACAGCACCAGCAACAUUUGCUGCCAACACGACACCAGCACAAUUUUUUGUGGGUACGACACCCGCAACAUUUGCAACGAAUACAACACCAGCAAGAUUUGCAGCAAAUACGUCCCCAGCCACAUUUGUUGCUGGUCCGACACCUGAAAGAUUUAUCACGGGUGGGACACAAACAACAUUCAUUUAUUUAAUUCCACUUUGUGUAUGCAGUUAUACUAUUUGUCAUAAUUUCAUGUAAAUAAAGUUUUUUAAUGUUGUCAUAGAUAUGCACUGACUAUACGGUGUCAUUUAGCAUUUUCA